UGCCCCAUGGCUGAGUUGGUUACAGCGUCCGACUGUUAUGUAUCUGUAAAGAGUUAAAUAAUGAUCGGAAGGUCGAGAGUUCGAGCCUCUCUGGGGCAG